rnacentral:rRNA from 1 species
UACGGAGGGUGCAAGCAUUAAUCGGAUUUAUUGGGCGUAAAGGGCGUGUAGGCGGGGCUGCAAGUCAGAUGUGAAAUCCCGAGGCUCAACCUCGGAACAGCAUUUGAAACUACAACUCUAGAGGGUAGGCGGGGAAAAUGGAAUUCCACAUGUAGCGGUGAAAUGCGUAGAUAUGUGGAGGAACACCGGUGGCGAAGGCGGUUUUCUAGCUUAUACCUGACGCUGAGGCGCGAAAGCUAGGGGAGCAAACAGG